CACAAAAUGACCAACAAAUGUUUUCCUCCCAAGAGAGAGGGUGAAAUUGGAGAGCUAGAUGGGAAAGUUUUGCCUUACAGUGUCAUCAGUUAUAUAACCAUAAAAGGAAGUCAAGGAAACCUACUGUUUGGGGGAAGAAAAAGAGAAGCCCUAGAGACUCUGCUCCCUUCCCUGCGUACAUGGAGAAAUAACCUUCAUGGAAUUUCCUUACAAAGAGAAGCUGUCACCGGUAUUUGACUCCCUAACUGGCCUGUGGUUCAUAGCUCUGCAGCCAGCAGCCGAAAUUCUAACUGAUACCAGAACCAAGGAACAAAAGGAGACAGACCUAUUCGUGAAUGUUUCUCCUCACAGUCCGAAAAGAAGGAAAGGAAAAUAAAGAGUUUCUUUCCAAUGAAUAAGGACUUGCCCCCACUGUACCCUCACCCAGAAAUCUCUAGUUUCUUGUUCUUUACAAUCAUUCCAACUUUCGGUGACUUAUAUUUUUAUCUAUGUAUAACUGAAAAAGAAUAUAUAUAUGCAUGGCCUUUGCUAUACACUUGAAACUAAC
ensembl:lncRNA